AGGAGAAGGAGGAGGAUGAGAAGGAGGUGGUGCGGGAGGAAAAAGAGAAGGAGGUGGUUCAGGAUGAGGAGGAGAAGGAGGUGGUGCAGGUGGAAGAGGAGGAGGAUGAGAAGGAGGUGGUGCAGGAGGAAGAGGAUGAGAAGGAGGUGGUGCAGGAGGAAGAGGAGGAGGAGGAGAAGGAGGUGGUUCAGGAGGAAGAGGAGGAGGAUGAGGUGGUGCAGGAGGAAGAAGAGGAGAGGAGGUGGUGCAGGAGGAAGAGGAGGAGGA
ensembl:lncRNA